GCCAAGAUGGCCGCUGCAGAAAGUCAACUGAAACCACUUCCAGGAGAAACACUAGAAAAGUGCGCUCAGGACCUGGGAAGCACCUCUAAGGGAGUGGGCUCCUCCAUGGCGCAGCUCCUCACCUGCGCUGCUCAAGGCAAUGAGCACUACACAGGUAGGACCCUCCCUCAGCCUUUACAGUGCCUGGGACUGGGACGCACACCCCCUGGUCUGGCCUCUCUCCCCUCAACUUCACAGUGCAUCCUGCAAGCACUCACCACAGCACUGUUACUGGGCUCUUCACAAGCAUGGUUGAUACAUUUCUUAGAACCUUGACAAAUUACCUGACAUGUGUGCAGUUCAGUAGAGAAGGGUUGGAUUUUGACUCAUAGUUUACAUCAUGGCCCGGGAGUGAUGUUGGUAGGAAC
rnacentral:lncRNA from 1 species